GAAAAGAAAAGAGAAAUUAGAAAAGAGAAAAGAAAUUAAAAAUAAUAAUGAUAAUAAUAUAUUUUCUCUCUCUCCUCUUCAUGCACACGCAUCAGAAAUCCCCCUAAUUUUUUUUUCUUUUCCGUUUCGUGAAACCCUAACGCCACCGACUCCCUUUGUCGCCGUCGAAGCCCAACCAUCGUCGGAACUCAACCGCAUCGCCGUUCCCUUUAAUUCUGUCGCCACUAGAUUUCUCUGCCACUGUCAGGUUUUUAAAGGAGAUAUCGACCAUGAGGAGAGGAGAUUACGAAGGGAAAGAGCUAGAAGAUAGCAAGAAGAAUUUGAAGAAUUGGGUCAAGAAGAAGAACAAGUACAACCAAACAUUAUGGGCGAAGCAAGAGAACAAACUUUGCGUGAGCUAGCGAAACCCGAUUAUAAUCAACCUCCUCUUUGCAUCGUAUACCCGGAGACAACAAUCCCAUUUGAACUCAAACAGGGGCUUACAUUUAUUUCCUACUUUCAUAGGGCAACCCGGUGAAGACCCUCAUAAACACAUGAAGGAGUUCCACCUUAUUUGUGACGGAAUGUCCUCAUAGAGUGACACAAGAUCAACUCAACCUUAGAACCUUCCCUUUUUCUUUGAAGGAUGUGGCUAAAGAUUGACUAUACUACCUAUCAGCAGUCGCCUAAGGUUGAGCUGCGUCAAUCCUUUUCUUCAAGCUGCACUGCCAGAUCCGAUGCCCAACCAACGUUUGCGCUUCCAGCCGCGCCACCGAACGUUGGCCUAUUUUUGGUUAAAUCUUGAUUGUGGAGGACUAAUUUGAAUUUUCAAAGAGGUUUGGAGCCACUGUUUAAACAUUGUCAAAAGCAUUUUGACAUGUUAUGAAUUGAGUUUUACUUGAGACCUUGGAAAGGAUUUUUUUAUUGGAAGUAGAGCAUGCUUUUGGUUCUAAUUCAAGAUUUGAUGAGAAAUUGACUUGCAUGGAUAACGAUAAUUAAUCUUGUAAUUUAAAGUAAGUAAUCUCACUAAUGGAACUGUCUAGGUGCCAUGCGAUAAAUUUAAGAUUAAUUAUGAGGAUUCUAAGAUUGUUUUCAUUGAGAUGCAUGAGAACAAGUAAGCUGAUCUUGAUUAUGUUUUGAAGCAUGAUAUGAGUGCUAGCAUGAACUAAUUUUUUUGUUAUUAUGAUUUGCUAGAUGAACAUUGAGCAUGAUGAUAUAUAUUUGCAUGUUUAUGGGCCUAUGUUUUAUGAUGCAUGUUAUGCUUAUGAUAGUGAUAGUUAUUCCUAGCCGUAAUUAGAUACCUGCCAGAGGUGAUGAACUCCUUCGGGACUUCACUAGAGGUUUUUGUUUCCUUCGAAAUUCACCAGAGGUUUGUGUUUCCUUCGGGAUUCACCAGAGGUGGUGAUCUCCUUCAAGAUUUCACUAGAGGUUUUCCCUUGGAUUCACCAGAGGUUUGUGUUUUAUUUGAGAUUUACUAGAGGCGGUGAUAUCCUUUGGGAUUUCACCAGAGGUUUGUAUUUCCUUCGGGCUUCACCAGAGGUUUGUGGGUACAUCUCACUUACAGUAGGGUAGGUUCAACUAUCCAUUAGUUAGCCAUCCCAUGGAAAGUAGAAGUUUAUGCGCGUCCUACUAGAGAGUAAAAUCUAGAGGACAUAGAUGCUUAGCCUGACCCCAAUAGUGGGGUUACUUUCGGAGUAUUUUAUACUCAUUCUUUCUCAUGUUUAUUUUUCAGGUAAGAGUAAGAGCAUGCAAGCAGAAUCCGUGAUCA